GACGAACGCUGGCGGCGUGCCUAAUACAUGCAAGUCGAGCGGAUGACGGAGGAGCUUGCUCCUCCUGAUUCAGCGGCGGACGGGUGAGUAACACGUGGGCAACCUGCCCUGUAGAUUGGGAUAACUCCGGGAAACCGGGGCUAAUACCGAAUAAUCCUUCGGACCUCAUGGUCCGAUGUUGAAAGACGGUUUCGGCGGUCACUACAGGAUGGGCCCGCGGCGCAUUAGCUAUUUGGUGAGGUAACGGCUCACCAAGGCCACGAUGCGUAGCCGAACUGAGAGGGUGAUCGGCCACACUGGGACUGAGACACGGCCCAGACUCCUACGGGAGUCAGCAGUAGGGAAUCUUCCACAAUGGACGAAAGUCUGAUGGAGCAACGCCGCGUGAGUGAAGAAGGUUCUCGGAUCGUAAAACUCUGUUGUGAGGGAAGAACAAGUACCGGAGUAACUGCCGGUGCCUUGACGGUACCUCAUUAGAAAGCCACGGCUAACUACGUGCCAGCCGCCGCCGUAA
rnacentral:rRNA from 1 species